AUACCUGUAAGAUAGGAUCGAGAUAAAAGUAAUCGGUUUCUUAAUGAAAAGAUUAGAAGGGAUUAUGAAUUUGUUAUCUUUGGCUGAGGAGAUUUUAAGAGUAGAUGCUCCGUUAUUAUUAAGUGAUUAAUGAUAUUCUGUUUAUUUUAUUUUGUUUCUUCUGGCAAUUGUAACUUGUGGAUUAAUUUUAUAUUAUAAUUUUAUUGCGUGAUCGUAUUAUAAAAAAUAAUAAUCGUAAGAUUAUAAUAUAAAUAUUUUGAAAAAUAAAUAUUGGUUGGAAUAUUUCAAUUAAGAAGGGGAGAAUAAUGCUUGAGACAAUUACCUGGGCUAACGCAGACGAGGAACAGGAUGCUGGUACUCCCUAAAAGAAGCACGAGCCUUUUUUCUUCCGCGAACGUUCUCGAAUCUUCAUCGUUGCUCGUCGUCCUGGACAGUGUCAUCCGUCGACGACGUUCGCAGGAUCGCCGAUAGACCACCAUUAUUCGAAGAUUGAAACCAGCCAAAAGUAUCGUCGGUGCUACUUUGAAAACGAUUUCCAAUACCACUUUGUACACCUACGUGGAAAAAGAGUCGAUGAAAAAGUCGAAAAUUUUUAAAUUCUGAAAGAAAUUGAGAUCUCGUGGAAGAGUGAUAGAUUCAUUUAUAUCGAGUUCAAAUUAAUACCUUUAUUAUAUAUUGUAAUAUAAUAAUUAAUCGAAAAAUGAAUCUGCCUCAUCUUUCUCCAAGAUUUUCUCAAUUCGAAAUAGCAAAAAGUUUUGAUUACUUGAUAAAACAACGAGUCGAGAUAGAAGUGAUUCUCCCUCUUCUGAUAAAUAACAGGUCCGCCAAGCGCCAGGAGGCAAGUCGCUACUUCUUCCCGGAACACAUUUGGCAGAUAAACUAGGAACGUGGCGAGGGGAAUAAGUGCCACGGUUAAAUGCGGAGGGCCACAGAGUGGACGAGUGUGCUGACCAGGCCGACAAACGCUAACGUAACGUUCCACUGUCAAAGCUAGCAGCAUCAUAACUCCAACUCCUGGAAAAAGUAUUCUUUCUGUAUAUAUAAGUUGUAUAAUAUAAUCCUUCCAGAGGUUUACUGAUAUUUAAUAAUUUUUUUCUCUUUUUUAAUGUAACAGAAGCUCUGCACCUGUGUAUUUCUAAUCUUACAUUCAAUACUCGUGUGCAGUUGAAAAAUUUGCUUUUUAUCAUAUUUUACUAUAAGAAUGAAAAAGUAUCAUAAAUACUUUUCCUUGUAAAUUCAAAUUUGAUUCAUUGUCAUUAGAAAGAGGUGUGUCUCUUUGAACUUAAUCGAUUUUUAACGUAUGUAAGUAAAAAGUAUUUUAUCUUUUUAUUAUCGAGAAACAUUGACAGUCAUAGGAUGUGCUAUCCAGAAGCACAUAUAUAAAUAUGUACUAAGAUUUAAUAUUAUAUUUCGAUAACUGCAAAACUUCUUGAAUCCUUCAAGAAUUCUAUUGUCUAUGAUUGGAAAUGAAAAGGAGAAAAUAAAAUUGAAAAAAUUUAAUCAAUGAAACGAAAUAUUUCAAAAAUCGUCUCACCCAAACAACCAUUCCCCAAGAAGAGCUCGAGAAUUUCGAUGUUCAUAUUAUUAGAUAAAAAAUAUUUGACUCUGAAAUAAAUAAAGAUUGAUAUUCAAGUCUUCGUGAAAAUUAUUUUUCUCGAUGGAAAAUCCAAUUUGCGGAAAAAUAAUAUUAAUCGUGGAUCUGAUGCCGAUGUCGAGACGAUCCAAGAAGAAAUAAAUGGGUAUUUCAUAUAUGAAGAAUUCAUCAUCACAGAAAUAGUUUAUUCGUUAACAAAAAAAGUUAAUAAUAAACAUCCCACAUUUCAAUAAAAUUAAUUUUAUAAAAAUUUUUAGAAACACUACAAUAUUAAAAGACAGAAACAUUAUGAUACUACAAAAAUACAAUAAUUUUUAAACUGUUCAACGAAAACUUAUCGCUACCGAAUUCCAAUAAGGACUAUUUGCUCGAAUCUGCAGCGAUUUCGAUUCAUUUAGAUUUCAAACCACGUGGCGCUGUAGUCGAAAUUGAUGACUUCUCACUCUUUCUUUAAGCAGGCUAUCCUACUUACACGAAUGUCCCCUCAAAAUCAGACCAUCUCCAUAAAAAAACUGUUUAUUUUUCUUAUACAAUCAACUCUCUUAUAACACGGUUAUUUGUAACAAAAUUAUGAUACAAAAAAAAUCAAAACAGUAUGAUAGAAACAUUCGUAAUACAUGAAUCUUGUUUAUUAUUAAAUAUUUCAGUUGAUGAUAAUUUCAUAGAUUUUUUUAUAUUUUAUAAAUCAGAAAAAUUUUCUCAAUUGAAUAGUAUUCUUUAUAAGUUUGUUAAGCCAUGUUGUGUAAGAAGAUUAAUUGUGUUGUAUUGAAACCAACAAGAUACGUUUGAAAAAUUUCCAUUCUAAAAGAACUCUACUGUAUUUUAACGAAACAAUCAUAUAUGAUAUACAUAUAUAUUUAAGAAAAGAAUUUUUUUCUUUUUUUUUUUUUUUUGCAUCAUGUGCAAAUAAUGAAAUUCUACCAAUAAAUAAAAAUAAAUAGUAAAUUAAUUUUUAGAAUUUUUUUAAUUAAUCUUUAUAAUCAGUGUCAUUUUCAACAUUAUCGAGUCAGCAUAAAAUAAGAUUGUAAUAUCAGGAAUAAAUUGAAAUUGAAAUUAAAUUAUUGAAUAAAAAUAUUUCUAUUAUUGAUAUUAUAUUAAAGAAAUAUUCGAGAAAAUUAUUUUUGAUAUUUCUAAAGGUAGUAUUUUCAUCGAAUUUCGUCUAUAGGAUGAUUGCAUGGUUGACCUUUUAUGCAGAGACGUGACUUUAAGGUCAGUUUCUACUGAACUUUACUAGAGUACAUACAAAGUUUAAAUUUAUGUAAAACUUCUUUUAGAUGUUUUGUCCAUCUAGACUGGACUGCAGAUACAACUUUAUUGGCAUCAUAAGAUAUCAUAUUGUGUUUUAGUUUUAGGUAGAUCAUAAAAUAGAUAUUUGAAUUAAGUUUAUUACUUGCAAGUUUCUUACUUGGAAGGAAAAAUAAAACUCUUGAUCCUUCUUCUCGUUUAUCAAAUAAAAAAAAAUUAUUUUAUCGAUUGUUUAUUCGGAUUCUUAAUUAUUGUAAAUUGUUUAGUCCACAAUUGAUCGUACAUGCUUCAAUUUUAAAA